GGGAAAUGGGAUGGGAAACUCAAUCCCAUGAAGUUUGAAUGGAAUGAGUUUACCCCCAACUUUCCCCUAUGUCAGGAAAGCAUUUCCGGACUUUGUGGUUACCAAACAAAGGAAAUGAAUAACUUUCCUUUCCCAAGUCCUCAAAUCCGCGAAACAAACGAGGCUUAUCAUGGAGACUCUUAUAGAUAGUGGGGAGCCUUACAAUUUCUCUUUUGAGGGCUCGAGGCUUAGUUACCGGCUCAAGCCGAGGCGACAUUGUGAAAAGACGAUUUUGCCCCUGCCUUCUGUCUCUUGCCUCGACGACACCUGCCGUACUGCUCUGUGGAGUUUUGACAGACAGAGAGAGCGAAGAGAGCAGAGGAAGAAGGGAAGGGUUGUGAUAUUGGGUUUGUCAUCAGCAAGGAGGAGGGAGAGGAGGAAGAGCAUCGUUCUUCAUUAAUGUGUUUUGGGCUGAGGCAGGAGAAGAGAAAUCUGGAUUUUUCACUUACUUGAUGUCAAGCGCAAUGGGGUUAUUGAGUUUGGAGAAUUUGUUCGAUCAUUAGGUAUCUAUCUCACCCCAAAUGCACCUGUACAAAACAAUUGCAUCUGCGUUUAGACGGUAUGAUAUGAGACAAACAGGGUUCAUUGAAUGAGAGAAGGUUUGUUUCACAUUGAAACAUCCUUGAUCCCACAGUCUACAAGGAUAUGAUAUUGAGGACGUUCUAAAAUUUGUGCAUUGGCUUGAUGGAUAACUUGCAUCGUUGGGAAGCCAGCAUUGAACCAGCAACAUCAUCCGUAGAGACCAUCAAGGCAUCAACAAGGAGAAAAACGAGUGAGGUGUCAUGACACUUUUGUGCAGACAGAAUUGGAGGAAGCAACUUUUUCGACAACUUCCAUAACUCCCCACCACUAGGCUAACAGCUUUUCAGCAUACACAUGCUAAUAGACAUCAUCACCUAUUUUUGGCAAGCUGAUCAAGCAGUGAUUGUAACUAAGUUAGUCUGCAACUAGAACAACCUAUUUUUUUAACACUGCCACAACAUCUACGUUAGUGGAGAAAACUAUUUUUUGCAAGCUGUUCUAGCAGCAACUGUAACUAUGUUAGCCUUAAACUAUGACAACCUAUUUUUUGAACACUACCACAACAUCUGUAUUGGUGGUAAUGUUACUAGGACAUGAUCUGCAUCUUCUGUUAUAAAUGAUUUGCCGUCAGAAUCUUGUACUUUAUGCAGUGAUCAUACCA